GUUCACUUUGCAAAUGUGAGACGUGAAUCCAGUGUCUUCUGACAUAAAUUUCCAGAAACAGUUGCUGGAUCAAAGUGUGCCAGAAUCAGAAGAAAGUGAUUGUGCAGGAGGUAGCUCAAACUGUCCAGAUACUCAAGUUUUAAAAAGCCAAGUCCAGGAGGCUCCUUUGCAGUUCAUCGCUUUGUGUGGGUGUUAGAAGAUGCGGGAACAGAGAACCAGAGAUGUCAACAGCUGGGAAUGGAUCCCACUGCACUCUUACAACACCACAUGUCCAGAAUGGGAGCUUUGGACCUUUCAGUACACAGGCAGAUGGCAAGUGAAAUAUAUUAAACUGUGGAAUAUGGCUCUUGAGGACCUCAUAUCAUCUAUUGCAGAAGCAGUGACUUGAAAUAUCAAUACAAUGCAAAGAGAAUGAAUUAAAUGCAUAGAGUGGCACAGACUAUGAGCCAUGGGUGCUGCUGCUAAGCUAGCUCUCUGGAAAAUA